rnacentral:rRNA from 1 species
AUUGAACGCUGGCGGCAGGCCUAACACAUGCAAGUCGAACGGUAACAGGAAGAAGCUUGCUUCUUUGCUGACGAGUGGCGGACGGGUGAGUAAUGUCUGGGAAACUGCCUGAUGGAGGGGGAUAACUACUGGAAACGGUAGCUAAUACCGCAUAACGUCGCAAGACCAAAGAGGGGGACCUUCGGGCCUCUUGCCAUCGGAUGUGCCCAGAUGGGAUUAGCUAGGAGGUGGGGUAACGGCUCACCUAGGCGACGAUCCCUAGCUGGUCUGAGAGGAUGACCAGCCACACUGGAACUGAGACACGGUCCAGACUCCUACGGGAGGCAGCAGUGGGGAAUAUUGCACAAUGGGCGCAAGCCUGAUGCAGCCAUGCCGCGUGUAUGAAGAAGGCCUUCGGGUUGUAAAGUACUUUCAGCGGGGAGGAAGGGAGUAAAGUUAAUACCUUUGCUCAUUGACGUUACCCGCAGAAGAAGCACCGGCUAACUCCGUG